CUACCAACUGAGCUAACGGCAUAUUUUAAGAACUAACUUCUAUUUCAUACUUUUAUACAUGCAAAUUAUCAGAAACCUCUUGUUGAUUUUAUACAGACACUUGUGUAAAAGUUCAUAGCAAGCCAAGAUUAAUCCCUCUAUUGUAUCACACACGUGGAGGGGCGCUAAAAAAUGCGUAGACAGCAAGUUUUGUUCGACCUUGUUUAAGCUUGCCCGUGUUACGUCAUUGCAUAUAAUUAUGACGUAUGCUAAUGAUGAGUGACGUCAGCUCCGCUAUCUAUUAAUUACCUCACCCUCACUACCCUCAUUUGUAUGAAUAUUAAUUACCUCACCCUCACUCACCCUCAUUUGUAUGAAUAUUAAUUACCUCACCCUCGUUCACCCUCAUUUGUAUGAAUAUUAAUUACCUCACCCUCACUCACCCUCAUUUGUAUGAGUAUUAAUUAACUCACCCUCACUCACCCUCCCUCACCCUCCCUUACCCUCAAAAAUCUGGGUCGAACGGUACCUACCCUUGUGGAAUCAAACACUAUUUAAUUGCUAUUUAUUUCCUAUUUUAUUGGGCUAUUUAAUUCCUAUUUAUCAAAGUAUUUAUUUCCUAUGUUUACUAUUAUUUUUUUCAAGGUUUUUCCUAUUUAAAUUAGGGUAGAAAGGCUAUUUUUUUCCUAUCCAAGUGGAACCAUAUUUUUUUC